ACUGCUUAGUAUGAGAGGAAGCGUUCAUUCGGAUAAUUGGUAUUUGGGGCUGCCUAAGCAGGCAAUGGCCCGAAGCUAUCAUCCGCCGGGUUAUAGCUGAACGCCUCUAAGUCAGAACCCGU
rnacentral:ncRNA from 1 species